UACAGAGGUGCCAAGCGUUAGGCGGAAUCACUGGGCUUAAAGCGCGUGUAGGCGGGUCGUUAAGUGUCCGAGUGAAAUCCCACGGCUCAACCGUGGAACUGCCGGGCAUACUGGCGAUCUUGAGGCAUUCAGGGGCGAGCUGAACAAAUGGUGGAGCGGUGAAAUGCGUAGAUAUCAUUUGGAACGCCAAUGGUGAAAACAGCUCGCUGGGAAUGAUCUGACGCUGAGACGCGAAAGCCAGGGGAGCGAACGGG
rnacentral:rRNA from 1 species